AUGGGCAAGUGGUGGAUGGUGCGAGCCACGGCCAGUGUGUUCCACCAGGGUGAGCAGUGCACGCACUUCAUGGUCAACCGCAAGGCAGAGCGGCUGUACAACAUGACAGCACAGUUUAGUAUCCUCAAUGGCCGGACCCGUCGACUGUCUCUUGAUCUUGCAGACGAUGAGAACC
rnacentral:lncRNA from 1 species